GGGCCUAUAGCUCAGUUGGUUAGAGCACCUGACUCAUAAUCAGGGGGUCCCUGGAUCGUGCCCAGGUGGGCCCA
rnacentral:tRNA from 1 species